rnacentral:rRNA from 1 species
AUUGAACGCUGGCGGCAGGCCUAACACAUGCAAGUCGAGCGGAACGUCGGACGGGUGAUUAAUGCCUAGUAAUCUGCCUGGUAGUGGGGGAUAACGUCCGGAAACGGGCGCUAAUACAGCAUACUAUCAGGUCAGCCUAGGGCGGAUUAGCUGGUUGGUGGGUUAAAGGCCUACCAAGGCGACGAGCCGUAACUGGUCUGAGAGGAUGAUCAGUCACACUGGAACUGAGACACGGCCCAGACUCCUACGGGAGGCAGCAGUGGGGAAUCUUGGACAAUGGGCGAAAGUCUGAUCCAGCCAGGCCGCGUGUGUGAAGAAGGUCGUCGGAUUGUAAAGCACUUUAAGUUGGGAGGCGUUACCAACAGAAUAAGCAACGGCUAACUUCGUGCCAGCAGCCGCGGUAAUUC